AGGAGUCCGGGCGCAGUCUGUCUGCAGCCGUUGGAGUAGGGGACGAAGUUCGGCUCCCGUAGGAGUCCGGGCGGAGUCUCCCUGCAAUCAAAGUUAAAGGUGAAGUCCGGCUCCUGUAGGAGUCCGGACGAGGCUCACCAGCAGUUGACGUUGAGGUCGAAGCCCGGCUCCCGUAAGAGUCCGGGCGGAGUACAUUUGUUGCUGAAGUUGUCGGCGGAGCUCGGCUCCCUUAGGAGUCCGGGUGGAGGCUUCUUUUGAGGUUGGCCUUGUUGACGGAGCCGUCGAUUCUGUGGAGGACUUCGGCUGGGGAUAUUUUAUACC
rnacentral:lncRNA from 1 species